UACAGAGGGGGCAAGCGUUGUCCGGAUUUAUUGGGCGUAAAGAGCUCGUAGGCGGCUCAGUAAGUCGGGUGUGAAACCUCCAGGCUCAACCUGGAGACGCCACCCGAUACUGCUGUGGCUUGAGUCCGGUAGGGGAGCGUGGAAUUCCUGGUGUAGCGGUGAAAUGCGCAGAUAUCAGGAGGAACACCAGCGGCGAAGGCGGCGCUCUGGGCCGGAACUGACGCUGAGGAGCGAAAGCGUGGGGAGCGAACAGG
rnacentral:rRNA from 1 species